AAUGUUGACCUCAAUGCAAUAAUGCAAAUAAUUUGCUAUACAUACAGAAAAUAUUCCUCUUCCCACCACUAGAUAAAAGUACAAAACUGAAAAAAAAUUCCACAUAUCUACAACAUAGCAAAAAAUCAAGGGAAAAAGCCAACUAGCUGAAAGGAGCCUAUGACCAAAAAUGCGCCCUCUCUCUUUCAUCCUUGCCCGGAACGAAAGUAAGAAUAGCCAAAUAAAAAAAAAGGAAAACAAGUACUAGUAUUCAGUUAUCUGUAAGUUGUUUCCUACUUAAUAGAAUAAGAACGGGUGCAUACAGCCUCAAGGGCCUCUGUCAUCAAGGAAGAAAAGCUGGUCAUAGCUUGGAAAACUCCCGGAAGCCCUGUUUGAAUGUUGUUCAGAGUCAUUGCUCUGGUUACCUCCACUGCUUUAGAAUGCUUCACCAUCUCAUCUUCCACACGCCGUUGGCUAGCUGCAAGCUCAGCCUUUUUCUCAGCAAGAGGGUCUCGUACAUCUAAAAUAUUACCAUUAUCAGGUCCCCCAUCAGGAAGUCCAAUGCCAACCAUGGAGAAUGAAUUGUAAUACUUCCUUUCAAUGUUCCUGACACUCGAAGCCUUUUUCUCAAGCUCCUUUGAUGCAGAUUCAGUCCGCUUUUUGAUCUUCAACUCCUCCGUUUGUUUCACAUAUAUCGAAUGAACAACAUUUAUGAAGCUUUUGAUAGCUUCUGAUGCAACAGUGUCAGGAAUACGGUCAAGUGCUAGCUUCCACUCAUCGCAAAACAUAAAAGAAUCUGAGAACUCCCUGUUGCCAUUAGUUGGCUCAGUAUUGACAGAUACAAGGGUGAGCUUGAACCAACCA
rnacentral:misc_RNA from 1 species